ACCUUCGGGCCUGGCGCGAAUGAAUGAGCCGAUGCCCGAUUAGCUAGUUGGCGGGGUAAGAGCCCACCAAGGCGACGAUCGGUAGCUGGUCUGAGAGGAUGAUCAGCCACACUGGAACUGAGACACGGUCCAGACUCCUACGGGAGGCAGCAGUGGGGAAUAUUGGACAAUGGGCGCAAGCCUGAUCCAGCCAUACCGCGUGGGUGAAGAAGGCCUUCGGGUUGUAAAGCCCUUUUGUUGGGAAAGAAAAGCAGCUGGUUAAUACCCGGUUGUUCUGACGGUACCCAAAGAAUAAGCACCGGCUAACUUCG
rnacentral:rRNA from 2 species